rnacentral:other from 1 species
AAGUGUCUAAAAGAUCGGUUUUCUGUUAAGAAAAACCAACAUUUAUACGAUAAGGGAAUCUAAUUAAUUUGCGGUGUUGAAUGCUUAAUCUUUUAAGAAUCCUAAAGCAAAUUAUGUGAUGCCCACCUGGGAGACAGGUUUUGUCGUUAAAGAGACCACUUUUGGACGAUAA